GAUGAACGCUGGCGGCGUGCCUAAUACAUGCAAGUCGAGCGAACAGACGAGGAGCUUGCUCCUCUGACGUUAGCGGCGGACGGGGGAGUAACACGUGGAUAACCUACCUAUAAGACUGGGAUAACUUCGGGAAACCGGAGCUAAUACCGGAUAAUAUAUUGAACCGCAUGGGUCAAUAGUGAAAGACGGCUUUGCUGUCCGUUAUAGAUGGAUCCGUGCCGCAUUAGCUAGUUGGUAAGGUAACGGCUUACCAAGGCAACGAUGCGUAGCCGACCUGAGAGGGGGAUCGGCCACACUGGAACUGAGACACGGUCCAGACUCCUACGGGAGGCAGCAGUAGGGAAUCUUCCGCAAUGGGCGAAAGCCUGACGGAGCAACGCCGCGUGAGUGAUGAAGGUCUUCGGAUCGUAAAACUCUGUUAUUAGGGAAGAACAAAUGUGUAAGUAACUAUGCACGUCUUGACGGUACCUAAUCAGAAAGCCACGGCUAACUACGUGCCAGCCGCCGCCGUAA
rnacentral:rRNA from 1 species